AUGAACGCUAGCGACAGGCUUAACACAUGCAAGUCGAGGGGCAGCGGGGGAUAAGCUUGCUUUUCCUGCCGGCGACCGGCGCACGGGUGAGUAACACGUAUGCAACCUGCCCCUGUCAGAGGGAUAAUCCGGAGAAAUCCGGUCUAAUAUCGCAUAAAGCGUUUGCGGGGCAUCCUGCGAGCGCCAAAGGAGUAAUCCGGACAGGGAUGGGCAUGCGGCGCAUUAGCUAGUUGGGGGGGUAACGGCCCACCAAGGCGACGAUGCGUAGGGGUUCUGAGAGGAAGGUCCCCCACAUUGGUACUGAGACACGGACCAAACUCCUACGGGAGGCAGCAGUGAGGAAUAUUGGUCAAUGGGCGGAAGCCUGAACCAGCCAAGUCGCGUGAGGGAAGACGGCCCUAAGGGUUGUAAACCUCUUUUGCCGGGGAGCAAAAGCGCCGUGCGCGGUGCUAUGAGAGUACCCGGAGAAAAAGCAUCGGCUAACUCCGUGCCAGCAGCCGCGGUAAUACGGAGGAUGCGAGCGUUAUCCGGAUUUAUUGGGUUUAAAGGGUGCGUAGGCGGACAGUUAAGUCAGCGGUCAAAACGGGCGGCUCAACCGCCUGCCGCCGUUGAAACUGGCAGUCUAGAGUGGGCGAGAAGUACGCGGAAUGCGCGGUGUAGCGGUGAAAUGCAUAGAUAUUGCGCAGAACUCCGAUUGCGAAGGCAGCGUACCGGCGCCCGACUGACGCUGAGGCACGAAAGCGUGGGGAUCGAACAGGAUUAGAUACCCUGGUAGUCCACGCAGUAAACGAUGGACACUAUCUGUUCGGGUCGAGAGAGAUCUGAGUGGCACAGCGAAAGCGUUAAGUGUCCCACCUGGGGAGUACGCCGGCAACGGUGAAACUCAAAGGAAUUGACGGGGGCCCGCACAAGCGGUGGAGCAUGUGGUUUAAUUCGAAGCAACGCGAAGAACCUUACCUGGUCUUGACAUCCACAGAACUUUCCAGAGAUGGAUUGGUGCCUUCGGGAACUGUGAGACAGGUGCUGCAUGGCUGUCGUCAGCUCGUGUUGUGAAAUGUUGGGUUAAGUCCCGCAACGAGCGCAACCCUUAUCCUUUGUUGCCAGCGGUCCGGCCGGGAACUCAAAGGAGACUGCCAGUGAUAAACUGGAGGAAGGUGGGGAUGACGUCAAAUCAGCACGGCCCUUACGUCCGGGGCGACACACGUGUUACAAUGGCAGGGACAGAGGGAAGCCACCGGGCGACCGGGCGCGGACCCCGAAACCCUGUCUCAGUUCGGAUCGGAGUCUGCAACUCGACUCCGUGAAGCUGGAUUCGCUAGUAAUCGCGCAUCAGCCAUGGCGCGGUGAAUACGUUCCCGGGCCUUGUACACACCGCCCGUCAAGCCAUGGAAGCCGGGAGUGCCUGAAGUGCGUGACCGCAAGGAGCGCCCUAGGGUAAAACCGGUGACUGGGGCU
rnacentral:rRNA from 1 species